rnacentral:rRNA from 1 species
CCUACGGGAGGCAGCAGUGAGGAAUAUUGGUCAAUGGGCGCUAGCCUGAACCAGCCAAGUAGCGUGAAGGAUGACUGCCCUAUGGGUUGUAAACUUCUUUUAUAUGGGAAUAAAGUGCAGUAUGUAUACUGCUCUGCAUGUACCCUAUGAAUAAGGAUCGGCUAACUCCGUGCCAGCAGCCGCGGUAAUACGGAGGAUCCGAGCGUUAUCCGGAUUUAUUGGGUUUAAAGGGAGCGAAGACGGGUUGUAAAGUCAGAGGGAAAAGUUUGAGGCUCAACCUCUGCGAGCCGUUGGAAGUGGGGGUGUGGAGGGAGUGAGAAGUAGGCGGAAUGCGGGGGGCAGCGGUG